CAGUCGCCGCGGUAAUACGGAGGGUGCAAGCGUUAAUCGGAAUUACUGGGCGUAAAGCGCACGCAGGCGGUUUGUUAAGUCAGAUGUGAAAUCCCCGAGCUUAACUUGGGAACUGCAUUUGAAACUGGCAAGCUAGAGUCUUGUAGAGGGGGGUAGAAUUCCAGGUGUAGCGGUGAAAUGCGUAGAGAUCUGGAGGAAUACCGGUGGCGAAGGCGGCCCCCUGGACAAAGACUGACGCUCAGGUGCGAAAGCGUGGGGAGCAAACAGGAUUAGAUACCCGGGUAGUCCCUGUCUCUUAUAA
rnacentral:rRNA from 1 species